ACUGCACCCAUCAAGAUCACUUGUGUUGCCCAGAUUGCCAAAAUGCUCUGAGCAUGAACUAAGCAUGGGUUUCCCAAGUAGUCUAGUCCACCCUCACUGAAGAUUUGAGCUCCUGCCUUGAACCAAACAGCUUCUCCGAACUUGCUCCAUUACGAGCUAGGAAUUCAGGGAAGACACAUCCUAGAGCACCGAGCAUGGCCCAUCUUGAAUGGAUGACCUCGAGCUCACGGUUCUUGGCAAAUGUCUCGGGAUCGACUAAGAGCCCAGCUGUGUCCCAACCAUAGUCACCGGGAAACUCUCCGGUGAGAUAAGACGGGGCUUCAUUGGAGAAUGGGCCCAAGUACUUGACACGGUCAGGACUGCACCAUGGGCUGCCGGAUGACACAUUUUUGGACUUGGCUGCGGUUUUGCGCAUGGUGAUUCUGCCCUCACCGAGGAGGUUGGAUGUAGAAGAACCAAGCUGUGAGAAGGGGAGAGAGCCAUUGUUGAAGCAGCCAUAUGAGAAAAUGAAAGUGUUUACGAGUGUGUAGAGGGCCGAGUGAUUGUUAUGUUUUGCAUAGAGAAGCAUGGUGGGUAUUUGUAUAGGUUUGAUGCUAGAAAGUCGUUAUCUUUCUGCUAUCUUCAUCCCUUUUCUCACUGGUGAAAUGAAGUUCAAAGAGUUUCAAUCCUUUGAUCAAUUCCAGUUGGCAUGAUAGGCUCCAGUUAUUUAGUUCCACAAAGAUAGCAAUUGGAAAAUAGUUAUGCUUUGAUUUCUGACCAAGUAGAAUUAGCCCUACGAACAUGGCCGUCUUUUUGCAAUAAUGAUCAUAAUGACUCGAUUUCCAGUUGGUUUGAUAUGCACCACCAGCAUAACGUACGUAUAGAUACCAUAGAACAUCAAAGGAGAAAGAAUAAUGAAUUUUUCGACUAGAAAUGAGGAUGUUAAAACUAGACACAUGAUUACAAAAAUCUGAAAUAACAUUAAGAAUCUCUAUAAUUAAGGAUACAUUCAACUAAACAUAAAUUAGAAACAAAAUAUUACUCUAACGACGACUCAUUUGGCAUAUGUAAACCUUCAGACCAAUGUUCUAAAAAAUGCUAGGCGCUAGUCGGGCGGUAGAGGUGAAAUUUUGAAACCAAAAACCGAAAAAAAACCGAGCCGAAAACCAAACCGAAACUGGAAAAAACCAAACCUAAUUAAGAAAAACCGAACCGAACCAAAUUAGUUUGGUUUGGUUUUUGGUUUCGGCCCUUGAAAAACCGAACCGAACUGAAAAACUGAAUAUCCCUAAAACGACGUCGUUUUUUGUCUUUAUUUUCAUAUUAAAUAUUUGAUUUGAACAAUAUGAUUUUUAGGUUUUAUGUUCUAUAUAAUUAUCUGUUUGUCUUUUCUAAUAUUUUGCUUUUUAUUUUCAUUUUAUGUACAUAUAGAAAUGUUUUAGGUGUCGUGUAUGCAAAGUAUAGAGAGUGAUAUGUUACCUCUAAAAUCGAAGACCUUAUUAUUGCGAGCUUUAGAUGACAAAUUCUAAUAUUUAAUUUAUUUUUCUCUUCUUUAUUCAAAUUUAUGAUUUUUAAAAUUUAAAAUUCGGAAUUUAUUUGGAUGAACUUUAAACUAUGGAGUCUAUAUGUUGUGUUCAAGAUGAACUUACAAGUUUUAAAAUUAUGGUUUCAUGGUGUGCUAGUGUGGUCAAUUCUCAAUACUUUCGAAAUUAUUGAGUAUUAAACUUUCAAAGUAUCUAUUUGGUUUAUAAAUUGUUGGUUUGUUGAAGAAAUCAUUGUCAAAAAUUUUAUUGAUAUAUUAUAUAUGCUUAUAAAAAAAAACUAGUAAUGGAAGAAAAAAAAGACCUAAAAUACGAUAAUUUUUUACCAAGGCAAAAGCAUACAAAUUUUAAGAAAAAUUAUUUUAAAAAAGAAGAAAAACAAAAAAAAAACUGAACCAAACCACGGUUUGGUUUGGUUUCCGGUUCAAGGUCUCAAAAAAUACCAAACCAAACUGAAUUUUUUAUUCGGUUUGGUUUCAGGUUUUAUGUGAAAACCAAACUCACCCCUAUCGGGCGGACAGCCGGUGACUAGCGCUUAAACGGGUCAAUCGGGAGAUUAAUCAGUUUUCUAACUCUCUAGACGGAAACAGUGAAGCACCGCCUAACACGUAGGCGUGGAUUAAUCGGCUAUAAGCGGAGAUUUUUAAACCAUUGCUUGAGACAACAACUAGUCCUUAAAACUUGUAUGACGAAAUUGACUGUGGCUCAAAUUAUAAGGAGCUACAUUUAGAAUAUCUGCUGCUAUGGGGCAAGUAAGCAAAACAUGGGAAGUAUCUUCAUAAGGACAUGGGCAUGAUAUGCAUCAAGUAUCACCUGUAUAACCCUUUGUAGUAAGUGCACGUACCUCUCAUUGGCAGUCGGUUAAAGCAAGCUUUCCAGAAGCAAAUACGCACCUCCUCGGUACUUUUGUUUUCCACAAUCGUUUCUGCUAUAAGCCGUUUUUAUGGUCAUGUCUUUUUUUUUUUUUUUUUUUUUCUGUUUUAGGUAGAACAAAAUUUUCUUGCCUUGCUUUUUUUUUUCAAUAUGAUAUUUGUUUGCUCAAUACCAUUUUGGUCUAGUGACAUAAGUCUCUCCUUGUAAAUGAGAAGUCGUGAGUUCGACUCAUAGUAUUGUAGCAUAUUAUUGUGCGUUUGAUCCAAAAAUAAAAUAUGAUCUUUAUUUGGGAUCAUAGCGUUUUUUUGCUUUUUGCUUCAAUAUGCAUGUGGACAUUUUAUGUACUUAUAGGCUCAAUUAUGGUGUGAGCUGAAAUAUGUAGUAGGAGUGUUACCUGUACGUGGAUUAUUUGAUCUUAUUUACCCUCUUUACACAAGACAAUGCAUUGAUUCAUGAUGUAUCAUUUAUUUGAAUGGAUUGGAAUAUCUUCUUUAAUUCAAAAAUUAAUUAAAGAUCUCUUUCCUUAAGAUUGUGAGCAAACUUUUGCAUUUAUACAUAAUUAAUGGCCACUAUGAGCAAGUAAUAUUUAUUUUCAUUACCUAUUAAAGUUCAUUCAUCGCUAUAUAAGCAUGGAUGUAGCAAGAAAACUCCUAUAGUUUAUUCUAAGCCUGAGCCAGAGAUAAAAUGAUGAGAAAAGCAUUGUGGCAGCUCUACUGUUUUCUGCUUUUCCUUGUCCUAGCGCAUUGCAUUCUCCAUUGUGGCAGCCACCCUGUUUGGGGAAGAAAGUAUUUCGUCCGUAUUGUUAACAAUCUCGAAAACAACGAAGUGCUUAACUUUCAAUGUAAAUCCCUAGAUGAUGUAAUUGGUCCGCGUACUCUUCCUCCAUUUGGUGAAUUUGAAUUUAAAUUUCACUUCGGCCCUGAUACAGUGUUUGAAUGCUCUACGUGGUACUCAAAUCGCAUGGCUAAUUUUACAGCAUGGGAACCAAUUGUUCAACCUUUAUGAGGCGGGGCGCAUUUAAUUUAACUAUAUACUAAAGUAUGGUUUACUGUUCAUAAUCACUGUUCACAUCACAUGAAUAGUGCACUGUUUGGUGGGUGUGAUUCUGUUUAUGCCCUCUGUUUCUAAAAAACCACGAAAUUACCAUUAACCCUAGAUAUAUGAUUGUCUUCUAUAUAAUUAGUUGUUGUUGAGGAUGUUGUGGGUUGGGAAGUAAUUUUUGAACUCUUAUCUUCAUUACCGUGUCUCAAUUUUUUUUUUUUUCAUAGAUCUCACAAAGGGUAUUGUUAUCGAAGUCAAUCUAAAAUAGGGUAGUGGUAUCAUAGACCAAGGUUGAGCAAGUUUAUUUUCUUAAUUAUUGAGGUGAAACAAUUUUGGUUCUAUUUUAGCAACGGAAUAUUAAUUGAAGUACAAAUAUCUUUGAUUUGGCCAAAGAAAUUAUCUGGUUGCAAACCAACUCCUAAUUAACAAAACGUACUAAGUUAAUUUAAAUAUCGUGUGAUGAAGUACUAUGUUAUAUAUACUAAUGCAAUAUAUUUGGUUUUUGUUUUGUUUACUUUUAAUUUACUUGGUUUCUCAUCUUUGGUUUUAGUUUUGUUUACUUUCAAUUGAGUUGGUUCCUCAUUUUUUGUUUGGUUUUUAUGUCAAGUUCUCAUCUUUGACAUUUUGAGAUCAGUCUCUUUAGGAGCUUGAGAUAAAUAUUCUUUUCAGUUAAUUAAUCACUUGCUUUGUGUGUGUGUGUGUGUGUGUGUUUUGUUUUUUUUUUUUCUUUACUNUAGUAUNAUAUANCUUUAUUAGUUAGUUUUUAGUUUUUUUUUUUUUUUUUUUUCCUAUCUUUAGUUUCCUAUAAAUCAAGUUUUCUAAAAAUUGCGUUUUUGGUGAAAAACAGUUAAACAAAUAUGAGCAUUUUGUAUAGUCAAAACUAGAGCUAUAUUUUCGAUCAUACUGCUUCAGAUAAGUUGUUCUAUUUUGUGCACUUACAAGACAUUUACUAUUUUGGAUAGGUUACAACACUAGAUGUUUUGUAUUGAAGUUCUAUGAAGUACAUAUCAAAAACUUUUUCAUCAAUCAACUGAAUCAUUAACCAGUUUUAUAAAUAUACACCGCGCCAAGGCGCGGGUAUCAACUCUAGUUGUAUAUACAGUGUGUGAUCUGCUACUGUGUUCAGGUACAACAUAGCAACUCGACGAUAUGUAGGAGUCAUUAAUUUUUGGACUGUAGUACCAUGAAAAUGUUUGGGACAAAUGUAGUUUCAAACAAGAAAUAUUUAUAAGCUACAAGUAUGUUUUUUUAUUUUUUAUUUUUUUUAUAUAUGAAUAAAGGGCUGGUGCGGCUGUUUUCAAGCCUUCAUUAAUGAAACUGUCGAAUACAAGAGGGGCAUAUAUAAAGCCUAAACCCCUGAUUACAAAGACCCAAAAUAAUAUCGAGAAUCUCUAUAAAAUACAUGUAUUCUGAUAAACACCAACUAGCAAAUAGUACUACCCUAAAGACGAAUAUAUUUGCUUUGUCAUAUCGGUGACAUAAUGGAAAGAUCACUAGAUAUGUAACACGAUUACUUAUCCUAAUGUCUGAUAAAGAAUAGUACACAAGAAGUUAAUUAGCAAAGAAUAUUAGAAUACUUAUAUAUACACCAAGUUCUAAUACCAAACGUGAUCGAUCCAAUUUUUUUAUUUUUUUGAUGAAAGGGAUUGUAGUAAUCAAACUGGGCACAAAUUAUCUACCCAAACUACAGGAUUUGGAGCUGCAUAUGUUGUACUAGCCAAUCUGUGCGCCACUGUAUUGCAAGUUCUACUACCCAUGAGAGAGAGUCAUGGAUGUCACAAAGUAACCCUUCCAGCCCUACAUAGGUACCUUGCGUAUAGGAGAUAACCAAAAUUGCCUCUAGACAAUCUGUUUCUAUGAUAGCACAUACACAAUGUUUUCAAAAGUUUUAGUCCUUCUUUGAUAGCAUAUACCUCCGCCUUCUUUGCAGAGACUACUGGGGCAAUAGGAAUGACCAAAGCUGCCUUGAAUUUUCCUUGAUUAUCCCUGAGUAUCCCUCAAGUGCCUCCACGAAGAAAUGUUGGAAGAAAGCUACCAUCCACCAUGAGUUUGGUUUCCAUUUCUUGUGUUGUAGUUGGGGAGUCUGCCUUACUGGAGGUUGUAUUUGAACUUGUUGGUUUUCAUUGAACUAGGCCAUUGCCCAUGCUUGUACUUCUUGUGCUGUUUGAUGCUUUUCAUUCCAUAGUAUAUUGUUUCUGUUAGGCCAAAGAGACCACAAGCUGAUGAGAAGUUUGGCAAAGAGCUCCUUUGGCAUAUGUAAACCUUGAGACAACAACCAGUCCUUAAAACUUGUACGAGGAAAUUGAAUGUGGCUCAAAUUAUAAGGAGCUGCAUUUAGAAUAUCUGCUGCUAUGGGGUAAGUAAGCAAAACAUGGGAAGUAUCUUCAUAAGGACAUGGGCAUGAUAUGCAUCAAGUAUCACCUGUAUAACCUUUUUUAGUAAGUGCACGUACUUCUCAUUGGCAGUCGGUUAGAGCAAGCUUUCCAGAUGCAAAUACGCACCUCCCCGAGUCCCCGUAAUUUUUGCUUUCCACAAUUGUUUCUACUAUGGGUCCGUUUUUUUUUUUUUUUUUUUUUCUUAGUUUCAGGUAGAACAAAAUUUUCUUGCCUCUUCACAAAAACAUUUCUUGCCUUGUUCGUUUUUUUUUUUUUUUUUUUCAAUAUGAUCUUUGUUUGUGAUCAUAGCGUUUUUUUGCUUUUUGCUUUAAUAUGCCUCUGGAUAUUUUAUGUACUUAUAGGCUCAAUUGCGAUGUGAGCUGAAAUGUGUAGUGGGAGUGUUACCUGUACGUGAAUCAUACACAAGACAGUGCAUCGAUUCAUGAUGUAUCCUUUCUAUUAAGAAAAACAUAAGGGUCUUAUGACUUCUACUUAGUUGCUGAUUCAUAGAAUUAUUACCACUCUUAGGCUCAGUUUAGGAUUGCAUUUUUGGGUUAAAUCCUGCUUUUUCUCACCCAUUUAUGACUGAUAGCCUGUUUGGUAAGCAUUUCAUAUCUGCGUUCUUUUAACGAUUGCGGCCGGAAACCGCAAAAAUGAAAAGCAGCGGAGGACCUGCUUUUUCUUAUCCAGCGUUUUGUGAACGUGAAUCAAAUAGCCUGUACAUUCAUGAAAUUCCAGAAACAUCCCCACUGAAAUUCAAAAGUCAAACCCCUCGGAAUUAAUUCUCGUUCUCUUCUUCUGGGUUUCUUUCGUUUUUUGCCUUCUUUUGCAGCUCCUCAUCCCCUUGCCUUCGUACCUCUCUCUUCACAGCUAUUCACUUCUUCUUUGAUGGAUUACUGUAUCAUAUUAUUUUAUAUAUAGAUCUGUAAUUGAUCGUAAGGUGAUCGAGGUUUCCAUCGAAUCGCAUACACUUCGUAAUUUGAUGAGAAGAACAAAAGAUCCAUAUGAGUCAAAAGAUCUGUAUCUAUUUUUGAAAUUCUUUGUUUUUGAUAUCAUGUUUACCAAACAUUGUAGCAGUACUUAUUUUUACCUCAACACUUUCAAAUAUAUGAUUUACCAAACAUUAUACCGAGAUUUUUUACAACAGAUUAUUUUUACAACAGAGUUAUUUUAAAGUAGAGUUUAUAUACCUCAAUAUCAAACUAGGCUUUAUUGGUGGACAUAUAACCAAAAUGACGGUUUCUGAUGUCCUAGAAAUGAAAAACAAAAAUUUGAAAGAGUGGCAUUAUUUUUUGAGCAAUUUAAUGACAUCACACAUUAUAACCUAUACUAAAGACCUAUCUCUAAUGUACCGUUCAUUUUAUUUGUCCUUAUUCUCUCGAUAAAUUUUUCAGUAUUUCCGAAAGACCAUGUGGCAUUGCCUGGUUAUCCAAGCCUAUGAGACGUUGACACGUGACACUUUUUAGACAACUCGCAUCAAGGUUAAUUCAUUUAGUUUUCAACUGCAGUAAAACAAACCCCUCAACUAUCGCCGUUAAGUGAUAGUGUGAUAAAAAAAUGUAAAUCUCUGAAUUUUGUUCGUCCUCUCGCCGUCUGCCUUUCUCUUUGUGUUCUUUUCAGCAGAAGCACAAGGAAGCUUGUGGGUUCAGUUAAGCCUUGUCGUCGCCCAUAAGAUCCACUUUGUCCAACAAUUGGGAUUUUCAGUUCCCCGUAGCUAUUACCCGAUCUCCUCCACGCGUCCCCAGGUUUCUUCUCUUCUCUUCUCAUUUCCCAAUUGUUUUUCUUGCUCUUUGGGUCUUGCUAGUUUUUGUUAAUUUUGGUUAGAGAGUUGAAUGAUUGUGAUCAGACUCACUUUUCGGAGAAGAAAAGAAAAUUGAAAAUGGGAGAACUGAGUUCAAAGAAAGAGAAUUUGGGAAACGAAAUCCGCACAAACCGACGGAGGUGAGUAUUCGACGAUUUUGGUUAGUUAUAUGGAAUUGAUGAAACUUCGACGGCUCUCCCUUCUUGAAUAUGUUGUUUAUGGGAUUUGAUUUCUACACCAAAGUGAGGAAAAUUCUAUUAAGCUAUCAUAUAUUCAUAUUGGCUAUGAUUGAAUGGUACAUGACCAUAAUAGCUUGAAUUCCAGUAAAAGCUUUGUGGAUUUGGGAUUUGAAGUUUGAGGUUUUAUUUUUAUUUUUUGGAUUUGAAUUUUGCAGUUUUUGAAAUUUUACAUGUUAGUUGAUGUUGUUAUCCUUUUCAUGUUAAAGUCCAAUGUAUGAUUUAGCAGGUUAGAUGAGAUAUUGGAUUUGCUGAACCUUCAGGUAGUUAGAAAAUAUGCCAAUGUCUCCAAUGGAGGGGUGCCAUUUAAUUAGAAAGUAAACAUCCCACAUUGUUAUCAGCCCUAGACCACCAUUUUACACAUUUCAGACCAACAAUUUGAUUGCUUGUUUUCUCUGCUAUGUACUCAAAUCUAUUACAGCUACUGGGAUAGCUGCAUCACCAAAACUAGUUCUUUGUGUAUCACAGCUUAUGACUCUAAUUGUUUUACCAUCAAGGUCACACAGAAUACUUGAUUUUGGAUUAGUCAUUUACUUAUCCAUUUUGUCAAAUAUGGGUUCUGCUGAGAAAUGCCAGGAUGGCAAGUAAUUAAGCAACAAUUUUUGGAUGAUCCUUCUGAAACAACUAUAUACAUAGCUGGUUUGCAGGCUGCAUGGAAGCUUGGUGCUGCAUUCAAAUUGGUUAUCAUUUGAUUAUGACACUGCGUCUAGUAUCUGCUAAGUUUAUUGGUCUUUAGGUUCAAAAGUUUCGUUUUAUCGAAACUCUUAUGAGUUUUAUUUGGUUUGCAUAUAGUUCUCUUUUGAAGCUUGUAUUAUAUCUAAAUAUUUCUCAUGUUCUCUUUUUAGAUCUACCCCAAAUCCUGUUUUUUCUUUUUUUGAAUUCUGGGUGCACAGGCAGUGAGAUUGUAGUUGUCAGUGACAAACUAAGGAUAAAUUGGAAGAGCUUUAAGGUAUCUCAAUCAGUGAUUUCCUGAAUUACUUCAUUUGGAAGAGCCUUAAGAUAACUUGGUUAUUCUGAUUCCUAUAUGAUGUCUGAUAAUGUGUGGACAUGGGUGCAGGUUGAACCGUAACAGAUGAGGAUUGGCAUAGUUGAGUUUGAGGAUGAUGUGGUACUUGACAGUGAGGGUGACGAAGUUAAUGGAAGGUGACUCAUACAAGUAUGUCUCUGGACAAAAAGUGCACUGCAGGUUUGUAUAUUUGCUUCUUCUUUUUUUUGUUGUAUUUUGGUUAAUUUUUUGAUAGCAGUUGGCGUUGAACGUGUUGAUGAUAUGAAGUUUUUUUUCUUAAUGAAUGCUUGAGGAAGUAAUCUCUGCAAGACUUUGCAUUUACUAAUUUGAAUGACAAGUUUCUUGAAAUAAUUUUCAUACUACGGAGGAGUAAAGGCCGAAAUAUUUGUGCUGCUUGCAGAAUUUAGCUACAUCGACUCCCAUGAUCUUGGUUGGUCGCAUUACUGUAAGAGAAAGACAUUAGAUAAAUGGCUUUCAAACAUAUAUAUGAAGAUAGCUAGCAUCUAGGAUAAUAACAGGGUUUCAAAACUUUUCAAAUAUCGAUAAAAAACUGUGUGCUUGGUCAUAGUUAAGAUCAACUCAGUUAAAAUUGCAUAUGUGAAUGUGUAAAAUUCAAUCUUUGUGCAUAUACCAUAGGGACCAUUAGCACUCAAUAUUCAAUGAUAUAACUCAAAACAUGCAUCUCUCACAAGAAGUAAUGUUUUCAGCCAUUAACGUAAAACCUGAAGAGGAUAGAACUAUUAUGUUUCGAGUCACUUUCGUUUAACCAAAAACUAAUUAGGUCUCAUAGCUAGAAUACCAGCAUGAUGAAGAUGCCAAGGUGCAUUUGAGCAGCAGAGCAGUGAACUCCAGAUGCAAUGAACACCCAAAGUGAUAAUUGUAGAAAUAUAAUCCAUGUUACUUGAAGCAUUUUUCUCCUUAUGUGCAUAAACUAAAUGUCUAUUUAAAAGAGCUCUUACUUUGCUUUAUUGAAGGAUAUAGAUUGUGUCUCAUGUAUAUCGAUCUUUUUUUUUCUUCAUCACAUUGCUUAAUGAGCAUGCACCUUUGUUGUAUAGUCCAAUGGACUAAUUACAUUUUAUUUUUAGUUACAUUCAUGAAAUAUGUAGGAACCUCUAUGCAAUACUCUGAACAAGAAACAUGACAAGAAGUAUGUUCCAAUUUUAUAUGCUAAUUUUAUUGUUCCUUAUGUGGGAUAGAUGGGGUUGGAAGAAUUGUUGGACUGCUAAUCGAUCAGAGGAAGGCCCCAUCAAAGUGGAUGUCUAACCUGUUACUAGAGCUCUUUAAUUUGAUGAUGUAAACUCAGGUUGUCUGAGAGGGAUUUCCCCUUAGUGUUUGUUUGUUUCGUAUCAAAAAAAAGAGUGAAUGUCUAACGCGGACCAAACAAAAGUGGAGGUGUCAUCAUGCAUCUGGGAAUCAUACACCUGCUAAAUUUAUGCUUCGAAUUUCCAGUAUUUUUCCGUGUCUCAACAAUUGUAAAGUUCAUUCGUAUCAAAAAAACAAUUUGUAAAGUUCAUUCUUCAUAGAGUUGUGAGCAGCAUAUUGUAUCAUGAGGAAUUGAUGGGCUCGGAUGCAUAAUGAUUUACGUUUGCAGGAGCCAGGAGAGUUUGGUAUGCCGUUGGAACUUGGAAACCAUGUAGGUAACCAGUUUUGUUGGACAAAGAGGAUGACAAACUCUUAUUUGAAAUGGAAAGCUUUGGUAAACUAUUCAAACCAUGAGAUAUCAAUGUAGCACAAGACUCAUUUAUAUAUCCGACUUUGCCGUGUGUAGUUUGUAUAUAGAUUAUAUCCUUGCUAUGAGGAAAAAAAAAUAUAUAUCCGGCGUAAUUGGGAUAGAAAACGAUCCCCGCGCGGGAAUACCAGCUAGUACAUGGACUAAUCCUUAUAUGAACAAUUUCUAUUCGGAAAUCUAUUACAUGUAAAGCUUCAGACAUGGCAUAAUUCUAGUAACCGAAGAAGUGGCGUCUUAUAUUUAUCUGAAGCUCGUCAGGCAAAUUUUCCAAAAUACGUUCUUCAUUUACAUCCGUGGCAGAAUAUUGUUCGGCAUUUCUCACUUGCCUUCUAAACUCUUCAGGCAAGUUUCUGUACCUCAUCCACGCCUCAACAUCACGCCUCCUCAUCAACAUAUCAGACCUCCUAAAAAACCAAAAGAAUGAGAAAGGCUGAGAUGUAUAUAGAUUCUUACUAUCAGUAACCUCUUUCUCUAACAAAAAAAACUCUAGAAGAAAGAAAGUGGUAAUAAAGUCACGAUCAAACAAUAAAAAUGUGGUCAGCAUAUAGAUUCUUACUUUCAGUAACCCCUUUCUCUCAAUUAAAAAAAAAACUCUAGAAGAAAGAGAAUGGUAAUAAAGUCAAGAUCAAACAAUAAGAGUUAAGAAACAGAUUGGACAAAAAAAAAUAAAAAUAAAAAUUAAGUACCUUUGUCCAAGAGACUGGAGAAAAUUUUGCAUGUUUCCGAUCAGAAGAGCAAGGAGGAAGAGUCCCAGUCCAAUAAUUACCAUCGUAAAGAUAAUUUCACCAUUGUUAUAGCUUGGAGUUAGAUUUCCUCCCAAAGUGCUGAUUUGCUUAAUAAAUCACAGGAGAUAAUAUGUCAGCAUAAAGGUGUAACUUAUUUAUGAAAUCAUAAUAAAAUAAAGGGAAGUUAUCAGCAAUUAGAAUGUAAGGUACCUGAAACCCCCAAAACAAUGAGUAUAGAUAUUUAGUAAUGAUAUGUCCCGUAGUGAUAUUGAUAAUUGGCGCAUAGAUUCCAUAUGAGAAGUCUCCAUUGGGACUAAAACAAAGAGCAGCCUUCUCAUUUAGUCUCCGUUUAGUAAUUAACUCAUCCAGGGAAAGAUAACGAGCAUGCCAACAAUCUAUUAAGUUCGGGCAUGACUGCAUAUUAGAAUUGUGGCAGGCGUCUUGAAGACAUUGGUUAACCCUCUGGAACAAGAAAAAAAAUACAAAUGUUCUCAGUGGCAUAGCCAGAAACUAUCACUAGAAGGGUCAAAAUUUAAACAAUAAUACUAUUGCCUGUUAAAAAAAAUUAAAAAAUUAAAAAACUAUUGAAUGACAUAAAAAUGUAUGAAUUAUUACAUCAAUAAUUAAAAAGGACAAAAAGUAGGUUUUCCUAAAGCAAUUAUAAUUGUUCACGACAAUUACUCAUAUUUUGAAAUAUUUUCAUGAUGGUUUCACCGUCAAAUAUAUCUUUCUCAAUAUAUGUAAUCAUGAACAUGUCUCCCAUUCGGUUUCGCAAAUCACUUAUAUAACCGUCAUGGCAAAAAAUGCUCUUUCUACAGUGACAAUUGCAACUGGAAGAAUCAGUGUCAAUGUUAUGAGCAAGUAAACUAACGGAUCAACCUGGUUUUUCUGUUUCAACAAUUUUUUCUCGAAGCUCACUAAUUUCUUUCAUUUUUUUCCAAAGUACAUUCAUUGGAUCUAUCUCUAUUCUGAAGUACAGCGACAAUUGCAACUGGAAGAAUCAGUGUCAAUGUUAUGAGCAAGUAAACUAACGGAUAAACUUGGUUUUUCUGUUUCAACCAUUUUUUCUCGAAGCUCACUAAUUUCGGUCAUUUUUUUCCGAAGUACCUUCAUUGGAUCUAUUUCUUAUUUGAAUAGCUUGAGAUGCUGUCAACUGAUCCGUUGCUUUCUUUACAAUAUUUUUGAGAAAAUUUUCAUAAUUUCAAAUNNNNNNNNNNNNNNNNNNNNUUCAUAAUUUCAAAUAUUAAUUCUAAAGGUUUUGACUUGUUGUUUGUAGGGAGAAAUGUUUAAAGAACAAAAAAAGGAAUUACAGUUGAGAAGAAUUUAAAGAGCAUGAUAAGAGACAAAUAAAUUGUAGAAGCUUGAAUUUAUAUAGACGCAAGGUAAAUCAUGAAUCGAUUAGGAAGACAAAAAUGAAUAAUAAAUCUGUCCAAAUAUGAGAUGAAAGCAAACUUCUUUCCGAAAACUAUUUUCUUACUCCUAUAUUGAUUAGUAAAAAACAUGGGGUUAGAACUUAAAAGCUUUUCUGUCGACAAGGGUGGAGUAGUCUUGUCCAAACCAAGACAAGAUUUGGAAGGAGAUUACAAAUAUUUAAGACAAGUCUUGUCCAUAAGGGUCAAAUCUUGUUUCAAAGUGUAAUAUAUAUAUAUGUUGCCCCAACCAAUAGAAAGUUAGCUUAAAAUGUUAGAGGGUUCAAUUGAACCCUCUCGCCCCAUUGUGCCUACGCCCCUGAAUGUUCUAUUAAUUUGUUUUGACUUUAUCAUAAUUAAUUGCAUCAUAAAUUUCUUGUGAUUAUUGACUUUGGUAUAUAUUUAUAUAUUAUACUCAUUAGGUUUUUUUUUUUUUGAUCAAAUGCUCAUUAGGUAUUUAGUAAAAAUUCUGAUAUUUCUUUAAAAUAAAAAUAAAAAUUCCAAUAAAUAUGAAACAAAUAAAAAGAUAUACAAUUUAAAGACGACGUAAACCUUGUUAGUUGACUCAUAUUUAAAUUAUGGCAAUUUGUGUAAUUCUUUUGAAAAAAAAAAAAAAGAAAUCUAAUAUUUGAUCCUAGUUGGCAAUAAUUGGGUGUAAUUUAAAACAAUUUUAUGAGUGAGUUUAAUAUAAAAUGUGAUUUGAAUAUUAAGUGUAAAAUGAAAUGCCUCAUCAAACAAAUACGGGGAAAUAUGCAUCAUUAGGUUAGAUAAAAUGAAAUCUCCACACACCUGUAAGCCAAAGAGGUACCACCAUGACCCAAUGACAUGGGCAACCAGCAAAAAACUGAGUGUGUUUACAAUGAAAUUCGUCCAAAUUGACCCGAAUACAAAGAAUCCAUUCAAUGAUCGACCAGCAAGAAGGGACAAAACCCUAUACACCCUAGGAAAGUAUUGAAGAAAUAUUGCCAGGUGUAGAAGAUUCUUGGUCUCAUUUGUUCGUAGAGAAAAUCUUCCGUGCAACAGCCGCACCAGCUGACAUGUGCGACCAGCCGACCAACAAGUGCCUUGAUUUUUUCCACGCCAGCAAACUACGAAAAAGGCUCCAAGUUUAAAGUUGAAAUUUCAUUAUCCCGCCGGAAGCCAGAGUUAUAUUUAAAUUAGGAUUUCUAGGUGGUUAUUCUAAUCCAGGGAAGAACAAACGCCUCACUUUUCAGAUUACGGUCUCCUCAUUCCUCCCACUCACUUUUCUCCCACCGAUACUGAUAAUUCAUCAUCUCAUUUCCUACCGUUUCCAAAUUCAUGAACACAGAUCUUUCUAGACCCGAUUCAUGAACAUAGAUCAUGCUCGACCCGAUUCACGAACAGAGAUCUUUCUCAACCCGUUUAGUUCAUUCUCAUCGGUCAGGUAUUAUCUUUCUAUGCUGAAAUUAUGUGGCACCUCUUAUCUUCAAUCUUUUAUUCUUUGUGAGUGUAUCGUGUGGAUGGGAUGGACUGGAGAGAUAGAUAAUAGUUGAAAAGAAGACCAUGGGGAUGAGUUGGUUUUAGUCUCCAAAUUGAGGUUUAGGAGGUGGGUCAUUUUCUUGGAAUUCCAAUUUUUUGAGGUUUGGGAGGUGGUUUUUUUUGGGUUUCAAUCUGGACAUCUUACAUGCUUUGCCAUGGAAAUAGUACAUGCUUUGUUGUAUAUAGGAAUGAAUGAUGUGAACCCACCUGGAUUACUAGUCUGAUAGUCUCCGUUUGCAUAGACUUUUCUUAAUUCAAUUUUAGAUGCACACAGUUCUUUUUCCUGGAGCUUGCUUUCAGGUACUUGGAUAUUUCACACUUUCUCUAUGUUGGUCUUUUCCCUUUCAUGUAUUUUUCAGUUUGUUAGUUAUAGGAAGUGAUCAAGCACAUUCUUUGUCAUGGCUAUUUGGGAGGUUAACAGUGUCUCACUGUCUCUAUUCUCUAAAUUAGUUAAAGAUGCUUUUUGUUCAGAGCUUUUUAUUGUGUCUUUAAUUAGACAAAGAUAGUUUCUUUAUAGCAGUAGUGAACAAGGGUUUAAAGUAGAUGAUUUUCUUUUGAGUUUAUUGUUUUGUGCGUGUGUUGCAGUGUUAGAUAUUAGUAGAUAAGCUAAAGGUGAUGACGGAUCAGCCAAAAGCCAAGAGGUACAAAAAUCUCUGCUCACGGUUUACAACUAAUAAUACUCCAUCAAGUGAUAGUGACGAUGAGAUUGAGAUAGGGAGUGGGAGUAGAAAUGUGACUGUGGAUUGGCAUUGUUGACAGUUUUGGUACUCUAUGUGCGUGCAUACAAGGAAUGAAAGCAUUUCGAAGAGAUUGCCGAAGCUACAGAAUUCAAGAGAAUCACUUUAUAUUGUAUCAAUCUAUUAGCUCCGAUCGAUUAGUACUUUAUUAUGAUACAUUGUGGUGUAAUUUUGACACAAGUAAUUUUUCAUUGUGUUAAAUUUAGUUGUUACAAUUAUAAUCAAUCAAAACCUUCAUUUGACAUCUCUUUUUCAUUGUCUUCCAUUUUGUUUCAGUAGAAUGUACCUUGAGUAACAUUAUCAUAUCUUGAUCAGAGGCUUGGUUUCAUCUCUGGAUUUUGUUGCAUUAUUACCUUUUGGUUUGUGUCAAAGAUUAAAGAUAUGGUUAAAAAUUGAGAAAGAAAAAAGCUGAUGGAAAGAUACUUGAAUUUGUGAUGCUUAAACUACUAAGAUAUACUCAAUGAUCGAAUGUAAUCAUCAUAAAAAAAUAUUGUAGCACAGGUUACAUACAAAAGUUCGAUCAAAACAAGCUCUAAACAUGUCUUCGAUUCAGUUCUUAUAAAAUGCUCAUGUUAGUACUACAUCAUGAAACUUGCACACAUGACUUCAGUUCUCAUAAAAUGGUCCUCUUAAUACUGCAUCAAUGAAACCUGCACAAUUUAACUUCUGUAACUAUACUGUAAUUCAGGUUCAAUAUCAUCAACUCAAGCAUAUAAUAUUAAAAUACAGAACUAACCUCACUGAGGUUGUUGUCUAAGUGUAGGAUCAAUAGUCAAAGUCGCAGUUGGUGCAAGAUUCAACCCUGUAGUAUUCUACAAAUAUAGAACUAGUUUAUUUUCAAUAUAGCCAACUAAAAUGUAUGAAUGUACUAAGAUUUCAAAUAUACAUAUACCUGGUUUGAGAAAGGCAUCUGACCAUAACUAACAUGUGAAUGAGGAUGCUCAAAAGGCCAACUUAAAUUUCCCUGAAAGAGAAUGACAUGUAUGAAUAUGUUCAGUCUGUAAUACAUAAAGAAACAUACAUAUAAAGCUUCAAAAUGCAGACCUGAUUACUGAAUGUUGGGGUGUUGGGUACUCCAAACUGAUUACUCACUGUUGGGAUGUUAGGUACUCCAUACUGAUUACAGAAUGUUGGGAUGUUAGGUACUACAAACCGAUGAUUAUUGAAUGUAGACACAUCAGUUGGAGCUUUUGGAUCAUUAUUUUCUUGGUUUUCUUGUUCUGCAUCAGUAAAAAUUUCAGCUAUACAAAGUACACAAAACAAGAACUAUCAAUAUAAGCUUAUUUAAGAACUAUAUAAAAUAUGUAUGUACCUUUUGUUCUCUUCUUCCUUUGAUUUGUCUCCAUCACAUCUUUGAUUCUACUAUUUUUCAUUCCCUUAGUCUUUGCAUUUGGUGGGUUCAAAACUAGUGUCUCAUUACUAGAAAUGGUAGAGCCAGACUCAGCACCAAAAUUCUUCAGAUUUUCCAACACGUAAAGGGUGUCCUUGUCUUUUUCAAGACGCUUCAUUGCCUCUGUUAACAAAUGCUUGACAAUUUUAGUACCUAAACUAGUUAAUGAGGCUAUGUCAUACACAUUAUUUCCUUCAUGCAUCAAUUCGCUGAGGCGCAACACUCUAGCAGUCUUUAAAUUCUCACUUGUUCCUACACUUGUGUCACUGCUGACCACUACCGUACCCCUUUCUUUGCCUCUUUAGUCCACCUCUUCAAUAUAUACUGAGUUGGUAAAGUUGUGAUAUUAUUUGUAUCAAACACCUUCAAAGCAUGACGACACAAGAUCCCAACAGACUUAAAUGACUUACAAGAACAAGAUAUGCUCAAGGAUGUAGAGUUGUAUUCAAUCUUGUGCACACUUUCACGACCAUCUUCAAUUGCUUCAUAUACAUAAACUUGAUCUUUACUGGAAACUUCUUUUAGUCUAACUCCCAUACAACUAUAGAAUUCUGUUUCAAAAAACUGAAAAAUUUUGUUAGUAUAAACCUUGGCAGCACUGCUUAACAUCUUAGUCCAUACUUUUGGACGACGUGCACCAUUUUUGCUACGGUAGUCAUCUUCUAACUCUGUUAAACGCAACUCUUCAAUCUUUUUCUUAUAGUGAUGAACAAAUUUAAUAAGCUCCAUUGUGUGUGUAGAAAUUCCUUGGAACACAUUGUUUGUACUUUCACUCCUUUGAGUAGAUCUAAUCCUUGCCGAAAAAGUGUCCAAAUUAAAUGCUGCACACCACUUCUGUCGGAGUGAAUACAACUUUGCUAGCCAAGGAUUAUUUCCGAGAUUAUAUCUACCAAUCAAGUUAUCCCAUAAAACCUGAAAUUCAAUUUCAGAACAGCACCCAUGUAAACAAUGGUUGAAUUGCUUCUUGAACUCUGGAUUUCCAAGAUAACUACCAAUUUUCUUUCGGCAUUCUUGCCAAUAUGCCAAGUGCACAAUCAAUGGGAUGCACCUGGAAACACUAUUUUAACUGCCUUUGCCAUUGCUUUAUCUUCAUUUGUGAAAAUAGUUUUUGGUGCUUUAUUUCCCAUCGACUCCAAAAAGGAUUCGAACAACCAAACAAAAGACUCUGUAGUCUCAUCUAAUAGAAAUGCACAUCCAAACACAACAUUUCUCCAAUGAUGAUUAACUCCAACUAUUGGAGCACAAAUCAGAUCAUACUUGUUUGUACGAAAUGUUGUAUCAAAGCAUAUAACAUCACCAAAACAAUCAUAAUCUGACUUUGCUCUACCAUCCCUCCAAAAGAAGUUUAUCAUUCAGCUAUAUUGGUCCAAUUGCAUUGAAUAGAAAAAGUUAGGGUCCUCACCUUGUUUGUGCUUAAAGUGAUUCAGCAAGCUUUGUGCAUCACCUGCUUCCACCAUUUCAUUCUUUUUUCUUUGCAAGUAGUUGUAGACGUCUUUCUUAGUGCACCCAACAUUUUCUGAACCACCCACUUCAUUUGCUAUGUAAAAAAAUGCUUUUGUUGCUCCUAUUCUUGCAACUUUCAUGGAAGUAAAAACUUGUCCACAAGCAUCUGUUACUUUUCGCCCAGAUCUCAAAAAUUGCCUUUCUUCAGGGUUUGCAAGCUCAUGGUUAUGAUCUGAAUUGAUAUGUGAUAUUGUCCAUAUCCCAUCUUUCACAAUAAACGAUAUCAUAGCCUUGCAACCGACUCUUGUUUCCAACUUCCUAUGUUUGGUUGGUUCAAACACAUCUUGGUCUUGUGCAAACCCUUCCUUUGAACAUACAAACUCUCGUAACCGGAUGUUAUUUGAUGCAUCUCUUCUAAUAUGUGACUUACGAACACUGAAACCCUUCCUCAAAGCAUAGGUAUUAUAUAAAUUGUAAGCCUCCUCAUCUGAGUGUACUUGAGUUCCCACUUUGAGUUCUUCAUCGUCUUCAAUUAUUUCCUCCAUUCUUUCACAAGCCAAUUUAACUCUGUAAAACACAAAAAAGUUUAAGCAAAUUUUUGGUCAAUUGCAUAGGACUUUCAAGUAUCAAUGAUCAUUAGUUAAUGAGAAAAUCUAUUAGAUUAGAAAAACCAAUCGUACAAACACCAAAUCACACAGUGAUUGAAUAAUCAAAAUCUAAAGGAUCAGUUUAAGUAUCAGUUUAUAUACAACCACUUUUAAGUAUUGGUUUAUAUACAACGUCUUCAUUACUCAUCAAUUCUUUGUGUCAAGUUCACACAGAGGAUCAUGACAAAUCCAAAACAAUCGAACCCAAAUACUCAUAAGAAAAGCAAAGAAAUACUAACCUGAAUCAAAUUGCUUAUCGAGAUGAUCUUGUAUUGAUUAAAUUGAGCAAUCAUGAGAACGAGCUAACAGGUCGAGAAAGACUGGUUUUGGUGAAUCUGAAAAUUGAUUAUCAGUAAUGAGGAGACCCUAAUCUGAAAAUUGAGUGAGAGGAACAAGAAGUCGUCCACUGUUUGUUCUUCCCCAGAUUAGAAAAACACCUAGAAAUCCUAAUUUAGCUAAAACUCGGCGGGAUAAUGAAAUUUCAACUUUAAACUUGGAGCCUUUUUCGUAGUUUGCUGGCGUGGAAAAAAAUCAAGACGUAGCACUUGUUGGUUGGCUGGUCGCACAUGCCAGCUGGUGCGGCUGUUGCACGGAAGAUUUUCUCUUGUUUGUAACGAUCGCCGAACAAUCGACAACACUAUUAUCUGAACAAGAAUUUAAACCAAAAACAAGAAUAAAUCAAAUCUAAAAACCCGUCAUAUGGGGUAUCUGUAGAAAAAAAAAAAAUUAAUGACAUACUUGUAAUAAAAACAGUUAUGACUUGUAAUCUUAGUCUAUAAAGUUGGACGCACCGACUUGUAAUUGACAUUUGUAGAAUGAUCAUAUUUAAACAAUUACACAUAAGCAUAUCAAACCAAUUCAAAGUGGACAUGAGAGAAAGAGCUUACCUGAGGAACCGGUAAUACAAUUAUUAGGUCGAUUAAAAAGUUUCCAUGGAGAUAAUUUAGAGCGAUUUUUUUUGGUUGGUCUACUAUUUCUCCUGGACCAACCAUUCUAGACCUAGGAACUUCAUAAGCCAGCCUAAACUGCCAUGCAUAAGCAAUAAAAAUUUAGAAAGGCUCAAACAGACAAGAAAAAGAAAAAAACAACAAUUUAUUUAAGAUACCAAUUGAAUAAUACAGAUUUAGAAUGACAUUUUUAAACAGAAUAUGUCAUGCACUUACUUGGAUAAGCAUGUGUAACAGAUAUAUAGUCUGUCACAGUCCGUAAAAACACCAGUAGUAUGGUUUUAUGCCAGUCCAUAAAUAUGCACUUCUGAUCCUGCAUUUUAAGAAUACAGAUACCCCUCUAUUAAAAAAAGAAUAGAACGGGAAACAAAUUUACAUACUAAAGCAAUUUUCGAACGGCUGUUAUUUUUUCUUUUUCUUUUUAAUAAGAAGAAGAAAUUUCUGCUUCAAGAAUAAUGCAGUCUCAAAAUUUAAUGCAAACAUAUUUUAAAGUGAUGACAUCAAGUGAGAGAAAAACAAAGAUAUAGAAAGAGAGAAAGAAAAAAUAGAUUGUUCCGCGCUCGCAGAGGCCGCCGGAAUGGUAGCUUCUAGCAGAGGCAACCGGAAUCAAUAGGAGGAUCGGAUACCGUUGUGGGUUUUCGGGUCAAGGAACAAGGCCGAUUAGUUUGAGUUUUUCUACACCUUGUGAUAUCUCGAUAUUUCUAUUUCAAAUAAGGAAGAUUGAGAGAGAAAAUCGAGGGUUCAAGGAGGAGAGCAGAGAGCAUAUUGGGGAAGAAGAAGAUGAGAUGAUGAGGAAGAUGGAGAUCACGCGCCGUGAAAAGAAACGUUUGUGAUCCCUCACUGGGUCAACUGAAGAACCUUCGGCCGAAUAGCUGUUUCUUCUUCAACACCCUAUUUCAAUCGAAUUUGGUCGGCGCCUUUGCAGAUUUACACUCUAACACAGUGGAUUUGAGUUUUUUUGGCACCAAAUUUUGUUAGCGCGUAUAGUACAUGCGCCGUUUAGGAAAGAAGAAGACGCAUCAGAAGAUACCGAUGCCGAAGCCUCACCCUGUGAAUGGAAGAAUCUCCGACGUGCAAGAGAGAGAAAACAAGAUAAAGAUAAAAUACCAUUUCUCUCUCUCUCGUCCCCACUCCCCCAAGUGUCCAAACCCCAACUCCCCAAGUGUCCAAAUUAAUCCCUAACUCCCCAAGUACCAACCAUAGCCAGGCCGGACCUGAGAUUUCAAGGUCUGAGAUGAGUUUUAAGAAUGGUGUCCUCUAAUGACCGGAAAGCUUCACCUUGAGCAGAGGAGUUUGAGGAGACCAGUAAUGAGGAAUAAAACUGGCAUAAUGGUUUAGAAGUUUGGGAGCAAAACCCAGUUUUUAGAGACGGAGGGGCCCACUAACUUAACAGUGAGGAGAGGAAAAAAGAAGAAGUUAAAAGAUAAACAAGUGGUUAACCCUUCUCUCCUCUUCUAAACCACAAAAAUCCAGUUUUUAUUAUCAUCGACAACCAUCACUGCUCAUCAUCAUCCCCGUUUCAAACUUCUCUCUCUCCCUUCUCUUCUCUUCUAAACCCAACCAUUUCCUCUGUUUUUCAUUUCAAAAAACCAAAACCCAAACAAUUAUAGCUUUAAGCUUUAGUUUCCAUGGCUAGCAGACUUUUCUAAUCCCUCCUGCUCAAGGCAGCUACCGGAUUUUGGUGCCCCCAGAUUUUUGGGGCCUGAGGCAGCCGCCUCGUCGGCCUCACCUCAGGUUCGGGCCCAAGGAAGAAAAUUUCGGUGAUUACGGAAAUUUUGACCCUCCAAAAUAUGGAAAUUUCGACGGAAAUUUCGGGGAAAUAUCGAUUGCAGUAAAAAAAUUGAGAAAAUUGACGGAAAUUUGAAGAAAAACAAGGAAAUUUUAAACCAAACUUUAAGAGAUGUUUGUUUUCUAUAUUAUGUACUAUAUUUGAAAUGAAAACCUUGAAUAAACAUCGAUCUAUAAGGAGUUGUAGUAAGUUAAGGUGAAAAAGUUAGUGCUGAACCGUUAAUAAUUCUUAGAAGUUUACUUUAAACAUUUUUUUUUUAUGGCUGGAAACCCAAAGGAGGCUAGGUCAUCACGCUUUAUAUACAUAUGAUAUAUUUCACAUGGAAUUACAUGAGUACUUUAAAACCACGUAGAAGACCUAUGAUGUACAAAAUUUUCAUUAUCUUUAUCGUCUCUCUGUGUAGAGCCUUCAGUAUAUUGUGAAGAAUAGUCAUUAAAUAAUACCUCACCUUUAUAGAUAUAUUAAAAAUGAAUUAAGAAGUGUAGGUAAAAAAUCUUUUUUAUGGAAGUGUAGGUAAAAAAAUUAGUUGGAGAUUAGACAUUUACCUAAUUUUUUACUUUUCAAAUUAAAAAAACCAAUAUAUAUUAUAAAGAUACUAUAAUAAACAAGUUAAAUGGUUAGUAGGGUUGGUUAAGUUGUUAAUCUUGUACCAACCCGACCCAGGCUCGACUCACCUUCGCAGCAAAAUUCAAAGUCAAACAUUUCGGCAGGAAAGUAAGUUUUGCAGUGUUCAAAGUCAGGGGAAACAAUCAUUCAAAUUUGGGCGGGAAAGUGGGAAACCAUUUCAGCUUCGACUUUUCGGUGGGAUUUCAAAGUUUCGGCGAUAUUUUCGAAAUAUCGCGAUAUAUCGGAAAAUAUCGAUUAUUUCGGACGAAAAAUUCUGAGAAUGAAAAUAUAUAUCACCGUGUGAUAAAAACGAAAUUUUCGGCGAUAUUUCGACGAAAAUUUCGAUUUUUUCUUCCUUGUUCGGGCCUGACCAUAGCACAAUCGUUGUCUGCUAUUGUUGGGUCGCCGAUAUAGUUUUCUUAUUGGAAACUAUGCACUUUAUGUUAAUGCCUAGAGAACCCUAUUCCUCCAAAAAAGAAGAAGCCGGUGUCUAACAAGAAGCUGAAGAAAGAGAGGCUGAAGCAAGGCGUCUCUGCUCCAGCAGGCGAGUAAAUAUGGAAGAAAGACCGCAACUCUGCAUGCAUGUUGAGCUCACAUAUGUUGAGAGUUUGUUCUUUCAUUUCCCUUAAUACUAGAUGGAAUUGGACUUAGUAAUUGGAACCCUGUAUUGAUCUAGCAACCAGGGAGUGAGAAUGUUGUUCCUAAGACAGUUUUUAUCUUCAAAUUUUCUUUCUUAAACAAGUAAUAAUCAGACCUCAGAACUUAGAAUGAGUUACUUUGCCAAAUAAAAUAAAAAAUAAAAAAACAUAACAGAAAGAAAGGGAAGAAAAAGAAAAAGAAUAAAAAGAAAUAUUCUGAACCAUCAAUACUUUGUCUCUGUUCCUCAUGUGCUAGAAUAAACGAAAACAUCUAACUGUUUGUGAAAGAAAAAGAAAAAAAAACAUGUAAACUAAGACUAAUGCAAAAAGAAGGAAAAUAUACCUCAUGUGAAUAUAGCAGAAAGAAAUGUAGUGGAUCUACAAAAACCGCGACCAUGCAAGAUACUACAAAAAACUUGUUUUAUCUUCAAACAACUUUGUUAUCAGGUUCACAAUCCCGAUAACAUAGGGAUGCAAAAAAAAACAUGUUCCUUUAAACAAACUCAACAAAUUCUUUUUGUAUGACAUAUUUGUCUAUCGCUAAAUAUGAAAUGAGUGAAAUGUCGAUGAGGAUGAUUGUGAAGUUGUUUGGAUUUAAAUGUAUAAUGAGGUACGGAUCGGAGAGAUGGGAGAAUGGGAAGUUCGAUAUAUGUAUUAGAUGAGUGAACUCAAUGAGGAUGAAGUUGUGAGAUUUAUGAUAUGGGAAGAUCGAUGCCUUAUAUAAAGAAGAGGACUAGAGGAGUGAUGUUGAUAUCACUGGAAUCAAUAUGUUUGGCCAUGUUUUUAAGAAAUGAUUGUUUUUAGUUAGGGACAGAAAAUUUUCAUGCCUAGUUGUGCAUGUAUUACCUAGAGACACAUUAUAUAUAUGAUGGUGUGCACGGUAAAAAGGCAUAUGAUAACGACUUCAAGGAAAGCAUUCAAAUUUUCUCAAAACUAAAGUAACACUUUAUUCUCCCAUAUUUCUAUCUUCAACUCUCUUUAAUCUUUCAUUCAAUUGGAAGAUUAACAUAAGAGAUGAACCAGUCUUGGUGGACCCAUAAUCACAUCCAAGCUUCACCGAAAUCAAAUCCUCUGUCUUCCUAAGCGAGGAUGGAUCAAGAACAUUAUAUGUAAGGGAUAAUUCAAAUUCAGCACUUUCUGGAAAGCAAUCUGAGAAAUCCCCAUGGGGCUUUUGUUGGGCUUUAUCCUAUUGUCUUUCUUCAAUCUUCAUCUAUUGUUCGUCUUUGUCUUAUACCCAUCUUCUUCCGUUCUCUGAUUCUGUGCAACUUUGAUCUUUAUCUUUGUCUUAAUCUCAUCCUGUAAUAAGUUUUUGACCCACUUUCCCUUUCGAUUUCUUUUUCUCUAUAAAUAUCUCUCUUGAGUCUCAUACACCCAAUCCCAAUUACAGUCAUUCAAUCUCGUCCUUCAUCGGCUCAUGUACAAACAAUGUUUUUUUUAGGAGCCACUCUACCCAGAACCAUCGGUGGUAUACUUUGGAAAAUAAAGUAUGUAAAUCAAUCUGCCACUUGCCCAUUGCAUCACCAAUAAUCGACACACCCAUUGAAAUCGAUUGAACCAGAUUGAAAUACUGAGAUGCAAGAGUGAAUUGAUUUUUCAGAGAAAAGAAAAUAUCAGAUCUAGAAGAAGAAGAAGAUUCGAAUGAAGUUAACAGAGCAAUUGACGUUAGUUCCUGCCAUUUGCUUGCUUGGAAAAAAAAUACAAACGUGUCAACACGAGUGGAUGGUCGUAUGAAUGACGUGGUGCGAGUGCCGCACCUAAGAGUAAGUCCACCCCAAACUCCAAAACUGUGACCCAGACCUUUAGCCAUCUCAAAUAAAGACUCAGACAAAAAAAAACCAAAUCCACCUAUAGAAAAAAAUGAUAACCCAAUCUUUAUUAGAUCAAGACCUGAGUUAGACUCAUAACCAGGCAGAAAAAUGAAGGCCCGGGCCUUCCCUCUCCAGCUCAGCCCACUUGCAUGGGUUUGCAUGACGUCAGCCAUGUUAGAAGACUUGGAGAGAUGAAAGAAGACGCGUCUUGAUGUGGGUGAAGAACACAGACCAAUUGUUGAUGAAAGAGGACGCGCGGGGAACUCAUUUUGUCGCCAUGCGGGGUUAGUGGAUGGGCCACAUGCACGUUCCAAACCUUCACACACCCAUUUAUGUGAAUCUGAUGGUAUAUAUUUAACAACCAAAUAUUUUUAUUACAGAAAUAAAUAGGAAUUAUAAGUUAUAGUUUUAUUUUUUUGGAAUUUUAAUUUCUUCAACAUCCCACAAAAAAAAAAUUGUGCAUUUUAGAUCCAAUUUUUCAUAUCCCUAGCAUUGCUAUUUAUUUAUAAAAUUUUCAUAAAUUUGUCAUAUUAAAUAAUUCCGUGGAAUAAAUAUUUUUAAUAAAUAUUAAACAGUCACUGUCACGUGGUGACCCAAAAACUAAAAUCAUGGGUGGAAACUACAGCUCAAAAUCACUGCCACGUGGCGACCUAGGUCUCGCCUAAGACCCAGACCUUCCCAACGAAGACCUAGAAGGUGGACUUGUUCUAAGAUGACACGGUGUGAGUGCCCCACGCAAGAAUUGCUCCCUGGACCGUGACCACGUGUUUUGGAUAGGGUAAUGCACUACAAAAAAUAUGCGUAAAAGCGACAGUUUUUUCCCCACAUUUUCAGUUUUCGUGGGAGUAUAGUACUGAAUAGUGUCAACGUUUGAAAUCUUUCGAACUCUCCCACGCAAGUCGCAACUUCGAAUUCGUGGAGUAUAAAACAAUAAAAAAUUGUUCUGUAUGGGUAUUUAAUUCUGACACUCUAUUUUUUUUUCCAGUUUAUAAUUCUAAAUUCAGUAAACACCACGCUUUUAACAAUUAGUGGGAAGUAAAUAAUAAAAUAUUAUGAUAGUGUGGAAUUAUGAUGUUGAAACGAUGUAAUUAUCAUGACAUUUUAGUUUCUUACCCGUUUUUAGUAAUUAAUUCAUUUGAAUGUCCCACAAAUAUGCACAAAACGUGAGAACUUAUCUGUACAAGUACAACUGUUGNNNNNNNNNNNNNNNNNNNNNNNNNNNNNNNNNNNNNNNNNNNNNNNNNNNNNNNNNNNNNNNNNNNNNNNNNNNNNNNNNNNNNNNNNNNNNNNNNNNNNNNNNNNNNNNNNNNNNNNNNNNNNNNNNNNNNNNNNNNNNNNNNNNNNNNNNNNNNNNNNNNNNNNNNNNNNNNNNNNNNNNNNNNNNNNNNNNNNNNNNNNNNNNNNNNNNNNNNNNNNNNNNNNNNNNNNNNNNNNNNNNNNNNNNNNNNNNNNNNNNNNNNNNNNNNNNNNNNNNNNNNNNNNNNNNNNNNNNNNNNAUCUAUAAACAAGAUAAACAAGAAAUGGAGUAAAAAUUUCAACAAAGAUUAAUUCCUGGUACACUUUCAUCUUUCUUAACAUCUUAUGGCAUUGAUAUUGACUGGAAUAGCUCACAAAUAAUUUGCAGAUUGCAACUCUAGUUAAAUCCAAUUUGUCAAUACUGCACUUUAAUGCAUCAGGACUCGAGCCUAGUUGUUAUAUAUACUUCUAUAGUAAAGCUAGUAUUAGUAUAUGUGAACAAAGUUCAAAUCUGUGCGUAAGAAUGAUCCUUUCUAAGUUUCUCAUCUGUAUUAUUUGAAUGUCUGCAGUUUGCGAUACCAUUUCCACCCUGUGACAGGUGGAUGCUGAAGUUUUUAGUAAUCCAGCAAUGAUUUUGAAGAUGAAAUUGACCAAUCUUCCAUGGAGACUAUAAAUCAUUCAGAAAGGGUCCCUAAAAUGUAAAAUUGUUUAGAAUUACAUAUGAAAGCUUGUAGUGCCUUUGAUUCCAUGACUGAAAUUUACAGGGUUAGCAUUUCUGGCUUACUAAAGCUUGUACUGGCUCCCACCAUAUAUGCCAAGAUGCUUAGAAGAUUUCUGCCAAUCUCUUUAUUUUGGCGUAUGUAAGGAUCAAAAACUGACAUGAUUGCAACCUAAGAGCUAUAAAAUUUGAUCAAAAUUUUCUCCAAUUCAGUCAUAUAUCAUGCUAGUCAAGUUCAUCAUGUUGUUUGGAAACAAUGUGACUUAUCAUGCGAAUUUCACGUCACUUAUCACACAGAAACGCUCUUACCAACCUCUCCGUAACCGAGUUUGGUUGAUUCUUUCAUACGUUAAACUCUCACACAGAUGAGACGUUACACAUAAAAAUUUGAAAACGUUUGAUUCCUGUUGAUACGGCUCCCCAUAAGGAAGAUUAAGGGUAAAAAAGGUUGACCGUUUUUAUCGGUACCCAAAAGUUACUCGAAAUAUGUGAUUUUUCAACCAUAGCCGUAUUUCACUAUUCCGAUCACAUCUUAUUUACGAGAUUUUUGCUUCCUUUGUACAGUUGGUUUACAAAAUUGUACACUUGCAUAUAACCUACUAAACAAGUUAUAUCACAUUAGUAGACACGUUGUGAUUUCGAUGACUAAAAUUCUCAAAAUGAAAAUUCCACAGUCUGAUAUGAUCAUUAUAGUAAACCAUGUCUAUGGUAUAAAAUUCAACUCUAUUCGGUAGCGUUCGGGGCUCGAUCGAAGCGGUCAACCAUAAUAUAUCGUCACUUAUCACACGGAAACGCUCUUACCUACCUCUCCACGACCUAAUUUGGUCAAUUCUUCCACACGUUAAACUCUCACAUAGAUGAAACGUAACCACACAUAAAAAUUUGGAGACGUUUAACUCUCGUUGAUAGGGCUCCCUAUAGGGAAGAUUAAGCGUAAAAAAGGUUAACUGCUUUUAUCGGCACCCAAACGUUAACCGAAAUAUGUGAUUUUUCAACCAUAGUAGCUAAACACUAUUUUGAUCACAUCUUAUUUCACGAGAAUUUUGAAAAUUUUACUUCCUUUAUGUAGUUGGUUUAAAAAGUUGUACACUUGCAUAUAACCUAUUAAAUAAGUUAUACUAUAUUAGUAGACACGUUGUGAUUCCGAUAACUUAAAAUCACAAAAUGAAAAUUCCACCGUCUGAUAUGAUCAUUAUAGUAAAUCAUGUCUAUGAUAUAAAAUUCAACUUGAUUCGGCAACGUUCGUGGCUCGAUCGAAGCGGUCAACCCUAAUAUAUCGUCACUUAUCACACGGAAACGCUCUUACCUACCUCUUUGUGACCUAGUUUGGUUGAUUCUUUCACACAUUAAACUCUCACAUAGAUGAGACGUAACCACAUAUGUAAAAAUUUGGAGACGUUUACCUCCCGAAAAUAGGGCUCCUUAUAGGGAAGAUUAAACGUAAAAAAUGUUACUGUUUUUAUCGGCACCCAAACGUUACCCGAAAUACGUGAUUUUUCAACCAUAGCUAUAUUUCACUAUUUUGAUCACAUCUUAUUUCACGAGAUUUUUGAAAAUUUUGCUUCUUUUGUGUAGUUGGUUUACAAAGUUGUACACUUGUAUAUAACCUAUUAAAUAAGUUAUACUAUAUUAGUAGACACGUUGUAAUUCCAAUGACUAAAAAUCAUAAAAUGAAAAUUCCACCGUCUGAUAUGAUCAUUAUAGUAAAACAUGUUUAUGAUAUAAAAUUCAACUUGAUUCAGCAACGUUCGGGGCUCGAUCGAAGCAGUCAACCCUAUUAUAUCGUCACUUAUCACACGAAAACACUCUUACCUACCUCUUUGUGACCUAGUUUGGUCGAUUACUCCACACGUUAAACUCUCACAUAGAUGAGACGUAACCACACAUAAAAAUUUGGAGACGUUUACCUCCCGAAGAUAGGGCUCCCAUAGGGAAGCAUAAACGUAAAAAGAGUUGACCGCUUAUAUUGGACUCGGACUUUACCCGAAAUACGUGAUUUUUCAACCAUUGCCGUAUUUGACCAUUCCGAUCACAUCCUAUUUCACGUGAUUUUUGAAAAUUUUGCUUGCACUGUAGAGUUGGUUUAUAAAGUUGUACACUUGUAUAUAACCUACCAAACAAGUUAUACCACAUUAGUAGGCACGUUGUAAUUCCGAUGACUAAAAAUUACAAAAUGAAAAUUCCACCGUCUGAUAUGAUCAUUAUAGUAAAACAUGUCUAUGAUAUAAAAUUCAACUCGAUUCGCAAUGUUCAGGGCUCGAUCGAAGCGGUCAAUAUCUUAUGACACUACUAGCAGCCUGAUCUUUAUUAGCAUUUUUCAUGGCCACGUUUUUCAUGGCCGAGCUCAUCUCACCCCUGUACUGUUCGUAAAGUUUCCUCCAGUUGUUCAAGCAGUGUUUGGGGACUUGAUUAAUGUCAAAAAUAGGAAGUUUCUUGAUUUCUGAACAAGGAUACAGAGGAAAAUCAGUAUGUUAAAAGUUGAAAUAAAUCAUUUUUUAUCUAAAGUUAUAAUUUGAUGGAAAUUUCAUAACUUUGAAAUACUAAAAGGAUUUGACAUGGGAACAUCACAGAAAGCUAUCAUAACCUUUGACAGAAAUUGGUUCAUGAUCAACAUUAAACAUUAUCUACCAUCAAAUUUUAAAAGAUUUUGGUUGAUUUAUAACAAUCCAUAGAUUCUGCUAAUUCUAUGGAUUGUUUUAAUUCCAUAUGGAGUUUAACAAAUUUUAAUAGAUUGAUUUAUUAGUAUUCUUUUAGACUUUUAUAAGUCCACAGAUUGUUGUAACGGCAAUAAAUAAAAAAAAGUUUCUUAAAACACAAACAAUACAGUAAAAACGAUGAUGACUUGAAACAUAAUGCUCUGAUACAAUAGUAUAUAGGUUACUAGUAUCACAUCAUACAGAGAACUGUAUCAAAUCCAAUCUCUCUGUUUGUGAUCAACUCCCCUAUAAUUGAAUAUUCAAGGAACAAUUUUCCCAACAUAAGCACUCAGAAAAAUAGAUUUUCAUCACCAUCUAAAAGCUAUCUAGCAUUAUUAACCAGAUGCAGACCCAUAAUUCUUCCCACACACAAUUAGCUGCAACUCGUCACAACCAGAAAUUAAAGAAUACCAACACCAGCAAUGGCAUGGAGGACGUUUGCAUCAACACCCUUGAACAAGGACUUAGCACCCACAUUCUUCAAGAUCUGAGUGAAGGCUUCAAAACUCUUGUACUCGACAGCUUCACCAGAGGUCAUUAUCUACGAACAGUGUCAAUUGGGUAGGAAGAUAGACCAGCACCAUUUCUGAUGACCUAGGAGAAGUACUACAAGUCAAAAACAAAAGGAUGAUUAUCAAAAACAAAAUGAUGUCAGCUGGAAUACCUACAAGCCAUAAGAAUCUAGUCGUGGACAAAUAAAGUAAAUAUAAAUACAGCUUCCGCCAACACACUGAAGUUGCAUAUCCUUGGAAUCAAACCACCAAUAUAGGAUAAAUAGAAUUUGCAAGCACAUAAAAGUACAAAGAAUACCAAUCAAAUUACUACAGGCCUUAUGAUAUAAGUGUCACUACAACGCUUAAUAAGAGUUCAAAAAUGAAUGAUCCACUGAUCCAUGAGUGACCACACUAACACUUGAGUAAUACAGGACCUCAAUACUUUCCUACUAAAAUAACCAUUUUAAACAGUAGUAUAAGGGUAUUCAGAAUUUCAGAUAUGAUACAUGAGUAGCAUAUAUUAAGAUCGCAAAUUGAAGAAAACAUAUAUAUCUCUCGUAGUUAGAAGAGAUGGGACAACAGUUGGAUAAUGACAUAACUAAUCUUUGGUUUUCAAAGUUUAUCUGCCCAUCCAUUCAAAACAAACGAAUCAUUAUUAGCCGCUAAACAAAUCACAGAGUCAUUCCUUUUACCCUCAAAGUUAUCAAUGUUGUUCUUGUAACUAGGCACGUGUUGCUACAAACAAUUCCCCUUAUACACACCCUGACCUACAGACAUAUAUACCAAUAUCCAACACUCAAACAAUUCCCCUUAUACACCCUGACCUACAGGUUUGUCUUUCUCAAGUUCAGACUAUCUUAGCAUACUGGAAAUCAUAUGCCAUCAUUCUGAGAGAAAUUUGUACAGCCUCCUCAAUCUCAAGCUAACUAGCUCUUAUAAUCAAUGCACUCAGUUAUGCGCCCUACGUACUUCUCUCUCUUUUUCCUCUACAAAACUUGAUGCUUUGGCCGUCAACCAUGAAACUGUUUCCAGGAAAGAUAAUGUACUGCAAUCAUCUACUUGUUCGUGCAAACCAUUGAGUUCAGACUUCAGAUACACCAUGUGUAAUGUGGAUUUUUGUGAUAGAGAUAUUUCCCUAAAUUAUUUAUUCUAUUAGUCAAAACCUUGUUAAAAACAUAAACUAGCAGCUUUUAAUGUCUUCCUGUAGACAUCAACCUUAGGUUUCAAAUUCUAGCUUGAUUCGAUUAGUUACACAAUCAACCUAAGCAAGUGUUCGACAUAAUGAUUCUGAAACAAAUGCGACGUACAAUACCAGCACGAACCCCAACAAGAAAUAUGAGAUUAAGAUUCAAAUACGAACAGAAAAGAGAAACAAAGAGCAUGAUUGAUACCUUUCGAGUGAAAUAUGGAUCAUUGGCGAGAACGAUGGUCUCGAAACUGAGUCGUUUGAAUCGUUCGCAGCGGUUGAUUCCUUCGUUUUCAACGGAGGCACCGCCGCCGCUGUAGAUCUUUGACUCGGAAGAACAUCACUCAGAGCCUCAUCGAGCUUUCGACUUGAAGAACAACCUACCGAGGAGAGAACCCAGUGAGCUCUCCUCAGACUCCAUCAAAAUCUCGUGGGAGAGGCCAGAUUUCUUAAUGGAAUUUGUAUUUAUACCUAGCCCUCUAAAAUCCAUCAAAAUCUAACAACUGAUGGAAUCCUUGAGAAUCUAUAGAGUUUUGAAUACCCUCGUAUUUUGAUGGAUAUUUUAAAAUCUGAAUCGAAUACAUCAAGAUUUAUAAGGAGUUUUUAAAAUUUGAUUGAAUACCCAUAGAUUUUCAGAAUCCAAAAAAAUCCAACAGACUCCCAAUUGAAUACACCCCCCUAUGUAGUUCAAGUCUCACCUUGGAACCUCUCACAGAAUUGUCUAUAAGCAUCAGAAGGAGCAGACAGGAUUUCAUCGGGAGAAGGGGAGGAACAAAGUGAUUGUCCAUUGCACAAUGUCGCCGGCAAUGGAUUGGAAGUCUCACCUGCACCACACAAACACACAAAACUCACUAAUUUGCUUAAAUUUCAUCAUAAAUUUCGGCUAAUCACUAAAAGCAUCAACUAGAUUAUAAGUCUAACCCUGAGACUGAAAACUUAAAUAAAAUGGUGCAUCAGUAACUACGACCUUUACCAUCAGACUUGCUUUGACAAGAAUAAGUGUGUGCCACUUUCACUGGAGAAUAAGGUGAUUGUGUAUUGUUGUUGUUUCUGGGUUGCUCUAGAACAGUAAAUGCCUCACCUGCACCAAAAGCUUUAUUAUAGUCAUAUAACAGCAUUGACCACCAACAAAAUGAAUCAACUUGAGAGAGUGAAAGUAGUGACAAACCUUGAAACCCAUCAUCAAGUUGGCCAGGACCAGACAGUCUUUGAGAAGAAGUGCGUGCAAGUUUCAUCGGAGAACCCGAUGAAUAAGGUGAUUGACCUCUAACAGGUGGCAGGUGAUUAAAUGCCUCACCUGCACCGAAAAUCUAGUCAUAUAACAGUGAUGACAACAAGUCCAGUAGUCCACAACCAAAUGAAUCAACUUGAGAAAGCAAAAUAUGACAAACCUUGUGACUUCUCAUGAACUUGUGCAUGAGUAGACAAUCUUUGAUAAGAACAACUCCCUGUUGCUUUCGAUGGAGAACCAUAGCAGUAAGGUAACCUGUCACUAACUGCCUCACCUGCACCAAAAUCCUUAACACUAUCACACACAAAACACUCAUAUGACCACAAUGCAAUGCAUCAAAAUAGAGAACGCAAGAAGCACAACAAACCUCGAGACCUCUCAUCAACUUGUACAUGAGCAAUAAAGCUUCCAUCACAGCUUCCGGGUUGCUCCACAACACCAUACACCUCACCUGCACCAAAACCCACAGAUCCAGUUUCCCUCACUAUAUCAAACCCACAGUAAAGAACACUGGAGACCAUCAUAUAUACCCCAACCCUGAACAUGAAGUGAUGAAAACUAUACCGAACCGGGAUCGAUCCAUGAACAUAAAUCAAUCAGAACUAACAAACCCUAAACAUUGGUAAGGCUGACGAGAUUAAUAAAUGGUAAACGGCGUGUUGUGUAAGCUUCGGCAAUGUAGACUGUAGAGUGGAGUUAAUUGAUUGAUAGGUUCAUAACUCUGAAGCAUGCAACGCCAUUUGUUUUUGGUCUUUUCCUAUCAAAAAUCCUACACUUCUAGUCCAAUUAUUCUUUAAUCCUGCACAUAAUCUGAUGCUAAUUUACCAAAACUAAAGAUCCUGAGCUCAAAUCAAGAACAAAAUCAACACUAGAACUCGACUCGACCCGAGAAUCGAAAUGGUACCUUGCUGAUUGGUCCCUGAAGGAGAGAGUGACGCUCUCCGAAGCUUCUCCGCUGGGCUUGUUCACCUAGAUCCACGAGACUUCAUCGGAAACCUCGGCAUCCGGAUCUGCGGCGCCGCCGAUCUUCGUGACCAGCCGGACCUUUCGCGAUGUGCUGGAGCGGCGUUUAGGGGUUUUGGUGAGGUCGGGGUUGCCGGAAGCCAUGUGAAAAAUUAGGUCUGGGAGAAAUUAGGGUUUCAAAUUCGAGAUCUGAAAGCUUCGAAAUUGAGAGAGAUGAGAGCAAAGGCCAGUUGGGAAUUGAAAUUGGGGGAAAUUGAAAUUUAGAGAGAACUAAAGCGGGGAGUGGGCGGAAGCAAAGAUGAAUAGGAUAGUCACCCACGCACGACGCGCCUCGCUAGGCGUGCUUACAAUUGACAGUUAAAACGAGUUAAUUACCUUUUCAUUUCCGUCAGAAAACAAACGCGGAGCACAGACGCUCCGGAGCAUUCCAGACGUCUCCUCUCCUUCUAUCUUCUCCUCCCUUCUUUCUUUGUCUGUAACUCAUCAAAGCUUCAUUGUUCAUUCUUCCUUCAUAAACGUUUUUAGCUGAAAAACGUAUCUGUGGUGAACUCGAAAACGAAUCUCUCUUAGCCGGUGUACAGAAAUAAAGAAGUCUUUCACACUACCAGAAAUGUGGGCAACAAACACCAUCAUAAUGAUGUGCAUUGAACCAAUGGAAACUAAUCAGUGGUGUGGAUUCAUGAUAGCCACGGCCCUAGCCACUAUUAUGAGAUUAGUUUGCAUUGCUGGCGUGGCUUUUCCUAACAAUACACUAUCAUCUUUUUGGUGACUACAUAUAUACUCACUAAUUCAAUCUUUGGUGACUUCAUUGAAUUAAUAAAUAAAAAAAUAUUCAGCUAUAAAACUCUAUGGGUCCUACAUAUUCAGCAAAAGCAUCUUCAAAACCAGCUUCUUUAAAUUCAAAACCGCGAUCUCUAUCUCGUCUCUAGUAUCUCCUGCAAAGCAACAACAUGGGCAAAGAUUACUUGGCUAUAAAUCACCCCUCAUAAUUUUAUUUCCUUCAUAUAACAGAUGAUAUGUAUCUUGUGGAAAUAAAAUCAAUGUAUCCAGUGGAAAUAAAAUUAACUUGAAGCUCAUAAACUAUCAACAUGUUCAUAACCCGUGACUUUGUAAAAAUAUAAACUUAAAGCUCAUAAACUAUCAACAUGUUCAUAACCCCUGACUUCAUACCUAUAUCAACUUGAUGAACAAGUUCAUAUAAAAGCUCCCUACAUGUUAUGUAUCACAUACCUUAGUUCUUAAUACAAGAUAAUCCUCUCCUCUCUCUUUUUCCAUCACUAAAAUGCAAGUAUAGUGUACAAAGUCCACAUCUUUUCCUGCAAGCAGAAAAACACACUUUGGGUAAGUUGGCCAGAAAACAUACAAUAAAUUUCUUUUGGGUAAGAACCUUAGAAGAAACAAUUAUCAUUCACAUUUAUUAUAGUAAAACCUGGUUCAAGUUCAUAAAUUAAGCAUCUAUCGGCAUAGUUGACACAUAGAAGGUAAAAUCUGAAGCUAGAAAUGAGGUUAUAGUGAACAAUAAUGUAUUAUGAAUUAAGUUCCCAAGGAAUGGUAGUAUCAUAUAUAGUAAUGGUAGUAUCAGCCCACUUUUAUGGAUGAUGCAUAUUCAAUUACUGAUUCACAUUUACAAAAGAAUAUAAGCGUACCUUAUUGAGUGAACGACAUUUUUUUGUCUCCUCAUUCAUACGGUCUUGCAGCUUUCUGUUUCAGAAUGAACACCCUACAAAAAAAACUGCAUAUGACCAGUCAGUUAAGAAUCUUAAGAAGUUCAAAUAGAUUGAUAUGAAUCAAGGACAAUUGUAUACAAAUUAAGAACUGAUAAGGAGGGAAGAUAAAUAUGUAGGUGAAGUUUACCUCCUUCAACACCAGGGCAUCUAACUAUUCUUUUGUCAUGGUAAGACUUGACUAUAGGAGGCGCUUCCUAUAACACAGACAACAUACUAGCCUCAAUACACAAUAAUGGAAGCCCUAAACAUUAUUUGUACAUGUUCUAAACCAUGUAAACAUGCUUCAACUUUACCAGUUGAAAUUGACACAUAAGAGGUGCACAAUACGCAUAUUUUUUUGUCUAUUCAUUCGAUAGAAAGCAAUUAACCAUGUAACCACAAAAUUCAUAUGGUAAGAUCGAGGAGUCUGACAACUAUUAUCUCUUUUUUCAUUCAUUCACUCGAAGAUCAAAAUAUAAAUAAAAAACACCUUCCCCUCGAUAGUUAUUAGAAAUCUGCAAUUAGGAAUCAAAAGACUCUUGUUUAAGGUCUAAAAGUAUGAAUGUAAAAGCCCACUUCUACGACAACAAAUGCCAAAGUCAUCUCAUAUAAUUUAUGAAUAAUGAAGCAAGAACAUGAAACAAAAAAAUUAAAUCUUCAGAGUACCUUAGUACCAAAAGGAUUAAUUGGAUUAUUAAUCUCAAGAAUUUCCUCCCCUAAAAAUUAAGUCUUCGGAGUACCUUAGUACCAAAAGCAGAUAUAAACUAACAAUAAUAUGAAGUUUGACUAUCAUAUUCAUCUCAUCACCCAAAAACAGUGAUGUAAGCUACUUAAUAUAACAGACCAUAAAAGCUGGAAGAAGCUAGUUAUGCAGUAAUUCUCUAUUUGGUGUAAAGAAUAUAAAACUCCAAAGAAACUGCAUUUGAUUGAAGAGUUCAUAAAAUUGAUUUCCCAUCAAGAAUAUACAGUCACAUUUAAGAUUGAUACAAAAGACAUAUCUACAAGUUAAAUGUGCAGACAUACUGACAAUUAAACAUUAGUGUCUACAUGAACUCCUUUUUUUCUUAUUGAUACAUGAACUCCUUUUAUACCACAUCAAACUAAUAAUAAUCAAGUUAUUAGUAGAGUCCUUACUUAAACCUCAUGAACAUUACAAAGUAUUGAAAGCGAAUAAACAUCUCAGAGAACAGAACUCACCAGGUAAACAACUUCUAUUAAAUAAUUCUCGACAUUGUCAUUUCUGAAACAACAGUAUCAAGAAUAAGCACCCAAAUUAACUAUUAUAUAGUCAGCAGUUAUAAAAUUUCAUCAAAAAAGAAUUUUCAUCAGUUAAAUUAUAUCACCUUCCACAGUUCCACCUUUCAUUAUCCUAAAGAUCAUGAAAAUGUCCAUUCCUUUUCUGUUCUUUUGACCAGUGUGAUAAGCUUCAUUCCAACCCUAAAAAAUUAACCCCAAAGUUCAAGUUUUGCGGUGGAGAAAGAAUGCAUGCAAGAGCCUCUAAAACCAAAAUAAAGAAUUAUGAUGCACAAGAAAAGAAAAGCACAACAUACCAAAGCAAUUAAAUAUAACAACUUCAUUACAAAUGUAAAAACGAAGCAGAUAGGGAGAUACACUGACUUGUUCCUCUUUCCAUUCAUCGGGUCGGAGCACCAGUUAAUCUUUCACAGCCCAUGGUGAUCUGCAAAAUUUUCAAUCGAUCAAUCUUCAUACUAUGCUGAAAGAUGAUAUCGGAAACCAAUCAAUGAAGCGAGAUUGGGAUUUAAGAUUUUCAUUACUUGCAGCGCCGACGAAGACACGGAGUUGGAUUAGAUCGGCGUAUGGCCGAAACAGACAGAGUAAUUUAGAGGCUUGUCGAGCUGCGGUAGCUGAGAGAGAGAGAGAGAGAGAGAGAGAGAGAGAGAGAGAGAGAGAGAGAGAGAGAGNNNNNNNNNNNNNNNNNNNNGGAGAGGAACUUCGUUAUGCACCAUAAGAAAAAAGAGAUAAACUCAUAAAAGUAUAAUUUUAUAACUUUAAACAAUAUUGGUGACGGUCAAACAGUUGUGGUUUUUGCUAAUAGUGACACCGUUAUAAGGAUUGGGGAGAAAUCCUAUGGGUUAUGUCACCAUUAGACUAAUAGUGCAUAGAAAAUAGUAUCUGAUGCCCACAUUUGUGGUAGUGUCAUCUGCAGUCAUAGUCUCAAGAAUGACAAAUCGUCAUCAUCUGAAGUAUUGAGGCAUGUCAGAGAUUUCCAAUCUUCCUUCAAAAGGUUAGAUUUUUCCUUCCAUGACCCAUGUAAUAUCAGGAUUUAAGUGGGUAUAACAUGACUGAGAAAUUUGAAAAUAGGAAUUUAUUGGUUAUGAUUUCUUCAUGAUUUUCUGCUAACAUAAAUUCUCAAUUUUUUUUUCAUAUAUUAUUUCUUAGGAAAUUGAAUUCUGGUGAAGUUAAUCAAUGUGUUUGCAUAUAGGCGUCAACAGAUCGAGCUUGGCUGAGUAGUUGCCUCCUCCACAUGUAUAUGUGUUGGCUUUAAACUCAGUCUUCUACUAUAUGUGAUGUUUUGUUUCGUUAAGUGUUUAUUUUGUGAUCUUGUUUCGUCAAGUGCUGAUGUUUCUUAAUAUCUUUUAUUAAACAGCGACAAGCGUGGCUCGUGGAUCACAUUGUACCGAUACUGUCCCAACUUAACCACCUUUAAGGUGUUGGGUUUUAAUCACAAAAGGCCUCGGUACAAUUGGAUAAGAUCCAUCCACAUAUAAGUUAUAUUUUAUUUGUCACUUUUCUGAUGUGGGAUUUAUUCCUCUCUAAUACUUCUAAUACGCCCCCUCACGUGCAACCUGACUUAAGGUCCGCACGUGGAAUGAAUCGGGACGGAACGAACCAAGGGACACUUAGUGACAAUCCAAUCGGAAUAUUCCGAUGGUGAGACAAGAAGCCGGAACCGGGCGAGAAAAUAGAAUCCCGGACCGGACGAGAGAAUGAACCCAAAUCGGGCCCAUGAGAAUUGGAGAAGUAAUUGGAGAGGGACCCGCUCUGAUACCAUGUUAAACAGCGACAAGCGUGGCCUAUGGAUCACAUUGUACCGAUACUGUCCCAACUUAACCACCUUUAAGGUGUUGGGUUUUAAUCACAAAAGGCCUCGGUACAAUUGGAUAAGAUCCAUCCACAUAUAAGUUAUAUUUUAUUUGUCACUUUUCUGAUGUGGGAUCUAUUCUUCUCUAAUACUUCUAAUAUUUUUGUCUACUUUUCAGGUAUGUGUUCUUGCAAAAUUUAUUAGCCUUAGCUGAAGUUGUUGUUGAGCUUGACUUACAGAAUGAGGUUGGGGAAAUACAAAGAUUAGCCUUUUCGACUUUGCAAAGGAUGGAUCAGGCCAUCAGGGGACGAGCAUCAUUAGUUAGUUUCAACUUUCAACAAUAGUUUUUUAGAUUAGCUCCAUGUAAAUAGAUUAGCUCCAUUUCCCUCCUGGCCUCCUGGGAAAUUUUGAUUAGUUGUGCUUUGUUGUGGAUUUCCUGCAAAUCAGUUAAUGAAUAUAAUCAUUUAGAGAAACUCCGUAUUUCUAUGAAUAAUUGGACGUAUUUCUAUAAAUAAUCGGGUAUUUCUCUAAAUAAAUACAAACCAAUUUGAAUAAGAGCCGUCAGAUAUAUGGUGGGCCCAGAUAAUUCACAUUUAUAACAGCUGUUGAAUUUUACACAUUUUUUUUACAAUCCACACACCUCUAUCUCACUUUUUAUAAGAAAAUGUCUAAAAUGACUCUAUUUUAGACAACUAGAAAAAUUAAAACAUGGAUAGUUUAGACAUUUUCUUAUAAAAAGUAGGGUUUAGGUGUGUAAAUUUCACUCCCCUUAUAUUGACCCUUAAAAUGGUAAUAUAAAAUGGGUCCCAACUUUGAUAGCACCCACGAAUGUUUCGUAUACGUGAGAUUUUUAAGCUAUCGCCAUGGCAUUAGUCCGCAAAUCGUGACCAAGCCCAAUGCACACGAUUAUUCGUAGGUAAAAAGGCAACUCCCACGAAACAAAUUCCUAGCUAUACCCAGUUUUUUUUUUUUUUUUUUAGUGAUGGCUGAUUAAGUUGGAUAAGAGCUAGAUGUAUUGGUUCCACUUCCACCUCCAUGUAAACACAAAACUAUUGUAAUUUACCACACAAUAACUAAUUAGCAAAGACUAGUAGAAUACGUAUAUGUACUAAUGUACACCAAGGACUGACACCAAACUAACAAUUCAGGUGGCCCAUAUAUAACCGAGUUCGUUUUAUAAUUCGAGUUCUUACAUCUUUUUAAUAGAUUGAGCUGAUCAAGCAAAAAUUCGAAUCAAACAAAUGAAGUAAACGGAUCAAUGAACACAGGUUAUUCAAUAUGCAUGAUUGUGAUGUUACUGAAAUUAAUGGACAAUCAAUUUCAGUAUAAAGCUUAAGGUUAGCUGAGCAUGUCGUCUUAAUUAACUGCAGUACGUAUAGAUGAUCUGUUCUCAUUCAGUGUGCUGAUGUUCAUCUUCAGAAUGGAAAUCUGAAGUUGUGAAGAUGUAGUUUUUGAGAGCCCCGAGAAUGAUCCAUGCACAAUAGCACGAAAGACGAAAACUGAAGUGGAAGUAGAAUUUUUCUGUAAACUUUGUACCUACAAAAUUAAGUUUAAUAAUUUUCAGAUUCUUAUGCAGAGGUUUGGGUACGCAUGAAUCAAGAGAUCAGUGAAAGCAUAUUCUCAUCAUAAUUAACAUCAUACUUUCUGCAAUUUGUUCUCAAAUUGGAUUACCUAUAUAUAAAUUCUAGGCCAUAUAGAAAAUUAGAAAUAUAAGGUUGUUCAGCUUCCAUUCCGUGGAUGGAAAAUUCUAGUAUACCAUAUGGUAUAACAUACCUCACAAAAUAUGUGGCUAUCAUUGAUUGAAAAAACAACUAAAUGACCAUGUAAUGACUAUUUACCCCUUCAAAAGCCCACAUAGGCAUGUCAUACCAUAUGGUAUGAUAAACAAACCCUCCGUGGAUAUAUUUGUUAAAGAUCCUUGAAUCAUUUCCCCCAAAAAAGAAAAAGAAAAAAAAAGGAGAUCCUUGAAUCAGAGGUUAUAUAGGCUUUGAUGAAUGUCGUAUAUUGCUCGUCAUUUUCUUGAUGCAUCUAAUUAAGUACGUAGUUGGAGAAAACAAGAUGCCAGUGAAUCUAAUACCAAGAUUUCUUGCAGGGCUGCUUAAUAUCAAGUUAUCAACUAUUGUGAGUUACUAAAAUGAUUGAGUUCGUAUGUGGGUGAAGAUUUCACAUGGAAAUUUUGAUACAGAGAUAUGUAAUUAUGCAAACAGAUCCGUUCAUAUAUUCCUUUCCAUCGACAAACAAGUUACAUCAACACAGGCACACUUGAAAGAAAUCCCAUUUACAACAGUUGCGCACACAUGAUUAAAUCGAUCACUUCACUCCAAAACUUUCAAACCUCACUUUCCGGGAACAAAGUUUGUGGCAUAUGACCAAGCGUUGUUGUUAACAGGGUCAGCCAAGUGAUCAGCUAGGUUCUCAAUCGGUCCCUUUCCGGUAACAAUAGCUUGCACGAAGAAUCCGAACAUGGAAAACAUAGCCAGUCUUCCGUUCUUGAGCUCCUUCACCUUAAGCUCAGCAAAAGCCUCAGGAUCGUCUGCAAGCCCUAAAGGGUCAAAGCUCCCACCGGGGUACAACGGGUCUACUACCUCACCGAGAGGACCUCCUGCAAUUCUGUAGCCUUCAACAGCACCCAUCAAGAUCACUUGUGUUGCCCAGAUUGCCAAAAUGCUUUGAGCGUGGACCAAGCUAGGGUUUCCCAAGUAGUCUAGUCCACCCUCACUGAAGAUUUGAGCUCCAGCCUUGAACCAAACAGCUUCGCCGAACUUGACUCCAUUACGAGCCAAGAGUUCAGGGAAAACACAGCCAAGGGCACCUAGCAUGGCCCAUCUGGAAUGGAUGACUUCGAGCUCACGGUUCUUGGCAAAGGUCUCAGGAUCAGCUGAGAGCCCAGCUGUGUCCCAGCCGUAGUCACCGGGAAACUCUCCGGUGAGGUAAGACGGGGCUUCGCCGGAGAAUGGUCCCAAGUACUUGACACGGUCAGGACCGUACCACGGGCUGACGGAUGACACAUUCUUUGACUUGGCUGCGGUUUUGCGCAUGGUAACUCGGCCCUCACCGAGGAGGUUAGAUGUGGAGGAACCAAGCUUCACAGCUUGGCCAGCUAGAGAAGGGGAGGAGAGAGCCAUUGUUGAAGAAGCCAUUUGAGGAAAGUGUUGAGAGUUCUCAGCUUAGACAAUGUGGGGUGGUGAGGGCCGAGGGUUUGUGUUUUGAGUAGAGCCGUUGGUGGCUAUUUGUAUAGGGUUUUGUGUGGGGGUUCUUUAUCUUUUUGAUAUCUUCAUCUCUAUUCUUAUUGGGUGAUAGUGAAGUUUGAAGAUUUUUCCCUUCAACGGAUCUCUGCAUUUCCAGUUGGCCUCGUAUGCUCCACUACUAAGUUCAGUUAGUUCCAAAAAUAGAAAGACAUGCAGAGACAAAAAUGGAAAUCUGUUGUGGAUGUACUCUAUCGAAAAUAAAAUCUGUUGUGGAUACUCUGUGCUUUGAUUUCCAGCUAAUAGACGGUGACCACGUCAGCUUUGGAUCAGGGUAAUGGCUGAUUAAGAUUCUUGGAUAAGAGCUAGAUGUAUUAGUUCCACCUCCAUGUAAUGUACGUAUAUGUACACAAAGAAGUUAAUUAACUAGCAAAGAAUAGUAGAAUACGUAUAUGUACAUAAAGGACUAAUACCAAACUAACAUGCAACUCAGGUGAUCCCAUAUUAAUUAUAACGAGUUCGUUUUAUAAUUCGAGUCGUUACAUCUGUUUGAAAGACUAAGUUUAUCAUGUAAUAAUUUGAAUCAAACAAAUGAAGUAAACGGAUCAAUGAACACUGGUUAUUAAUGCAUGAUUGUGAUGUAUAUAUGUUACUGAAAUGGACAAGCAGUGUUUCUGUAUAAGCUUAAGUUUUCGCCAGAUCAAUUGAAGGAGGCCGAGCAUGUCGCCUAAAUUAACUGCAGUACAUAGACGAUCUGUUCCCAUUCAGUGUGAUGAUGUUCAUCUUCAGAAUGGAAAUCUGAAGUUGUGAAGCAAAAUGUAGUUUAUGAGAGCCCCAAGAAUGAUCCAAUGCACGAUGGCCUCCUGAAAGUCGAAAACUGAAGUAGAAGUAGAAAUUUUCUGUUAACUUUAUACCUACAAGUUUAAUAAUUUCAUGGACGCAUGAAUCAAGAGAUCAGUGAAAGAACAUUGUCAUCAUACUUUCUGCAAGCUAUCCUCAAAUUGGAUUACCUAUACAUGAAUUCAAGGCAUCAGCCAAAAGCCCAAAAGUAGUAUUGCAUAUAGGUUGUCCAGCUUCCAUGUUUGUCAUAAGGAUCCUCAAAUCAGCAUUAGUGGCUUUGAUUGAAUUUCAUAUAUCGCUUGUCAAUUUGUUGAUGCAUCUAAUUAAGUCGGAGAAAUUAUACAAGAUGUGUCAGAUAUUUCCAUGAUUUCUGGCAAUGCUGCUUAGAGCUGAUUCAUUAACUUGUGAGUUAAUAAAAGAUGAUUGAGCUUGUAUAGUUGUAUAUAUGGGUGAAGAUUUUACAUAAAAUUUUUAGUACAGAGCAAUUUAAGCAAACAGAUCUGUUGAUAUAUUCCUUUCCAUCGACAAACAAGUUACAUCAACAGAAACACACUUGAAAGAAAUCCCAUUUACAACAGUUGCAAACACAGAUGAUUCGAUCGAUCACUUCUCUCCCAAGCUUUCAAACCUCACUUUCCGGGAACAAAGUUGGUGGCAUAGGACCAAGCGUUGUUGUUAACAGGGUCAGCCAAGUGGUCAGCUAGGUUCUCAAUCGGUCCCUUUCCGGUAACAAUAGCUUGUACGAAGAAUCCGAACAUGGAAAACAUGGCCAGUCUUCCGUUCUUGAGCUCCUUCACCUUAAGCUCAGCAAAAGCCUCAGGAUCGUCUGCAAGCCCCAAGGGGUCAAAGCUCCCACCGGGGUACAACGGGUCUACUACCUCACCGAGAGGCCCUCCGGCAAUUCUGUAGCCUUCAACUGCACCCAUCAAGAUCACUUGUGUUGCCCAGAUUGCCAAAAUGCUCUGAGCAUGAACUAAGCUUGGGUUUCCCAAGUAGUCUAGUCCACCCUCACUGAAGAUCUGAGCUCCUGCCUUGAACCAAACAGCUUCUCCGAACUUGACUCCAUUACGAGCUAGGAGUUCAGGGAAGACACAUCCUAGAGCACCGAGCAUGGCCCAUCUUGAAUGGAUGACCUCGAGCUCACGGUUCUUAGCAAAGGUCUCGGGAUCAGCUGAGAGCCCAGCUGUGUCCCAGCCAUAGUCACCGGGAAACUCUCCGGUGAG
rnacentral:lncRNA from 1 species